AUGCCCAGUUCAACAACAAUGAGAACCCUAAAAUCAUAUUUUCUUGAUUACUUAUCACGGCGGCCAGAGACAAAGGGGUGGUGGCCGAAGACGAUGAUGUUCAAAAUAGUGAUCUACACGGUUCAUCAGAGAGGCCAAGGUGGUAUGAGGGUUGCGAAAAUACCAAUCAUUUCUUUUUUUUAG